rnacentral:rRNA from 1 species
AAUAGAUACCCAGGUAGUCCACGCCGUAAACGAUGGAUACUAGCUGUUCGGUCGCAAGAUUGAGUGGCUAAGCGAAAGUGAUAAGUAUCCCACCUGGGGAGUACGAACGCAAGUUUGAAACUCAAAGGAAUUGACGAGGGCCCGCACAAGCGGUGGAGCAUGUGGUUUAAUUCGAUGAUACGCGAGGAACCUUACCAAGGCUUAAAUGUAUAUUGACAGGACUGGAAACAGUUUUUUCUUCGGACAAUUUACAAGGUGCUGCAUGGUUGUCGUCAGCUCGUGCCGUGAGGUGUCAGGUUAAGUCCUAUAACGAGCGUAACCCCUGUUGUUAGUUGCCAGCGAGUCAAGUCGGGAACUCUAACAAGACUGCCAGUGUAAACUGUGAGGAAGGUGGGGAUGACGUCAAAUCAUCACGGCCCUUACGCCUUGGGCUACACACGUGCUACAAUGGCCGGUACAGAGAGCAGCCACUGCGCGAGCAGGAGCGAAUCUAUAAAAACCGGUCACAGUUCGGAUCGGAGUCUGCAACUCGACC